GCCUACUUAAGCAAGCUUCUCCCAGGGGGUGGUAGCGGGUGCACAUUGCUGUCCAGCUGGCUGCCGCUGGACCUUCCCUGUCAACGAUUAAGUUGGAGUCCUCUAGUCAACAGAGUUUAGAAAAAGUUUUGGUAGUGGAAGGACAAGUGUAUCCACAUGAGGAGCGGGGAGCUUUGUGGAAAAGGGAAGAAGAGAUGCAACUGUGGAGCAGAUGACAUUGGAGAAUAGACAAGCCCAAGAGGACUCACACCAAGAGAAAUUUUGAUAGCCAAAGGGCAACGUGAAGGCAUUGAAGUAACACGGAGAUUAAGAGAUGGUACUAGUAGCAUGCAGACGAAACAAAAAAUAAAAUUUGCUUUAA